UCCUACGGGAGGCAGCAGUGAGGAAUCUUCCGCAAUGGGCGAAAGCCUGACGGAGCGACACCGCGUGAAGGAUGAAGGCCUUCGGGUUGUAAACUUCUUUUCUGAGGGAAUAAAUGAUGAAGGUACCUCAGGAAUAAGCGCCGACAAACUAUGUGCCAGCAGUCGCGGUAAUACAUAGGGCGCAAGCGUUAUCCGGAAUUAUUGGGCGUAAAGAGUUCGUAGGUGGUUCUUUAAGUCUGUGGUCAAAUCCAGCCGCUCAACGGUUGAAUUGCUACGGAAACUAGAGAACUUGAGGUUGGCAGAGGCUACUGGAAUUCUGCAUGUAGGGGUAAAAUCCGUAGAUAUGCAGAGGAACACCAAAAGCGAAGGCAGGUAGCUGGGCCAAAUCUGACGCUGAGGAACGAAAGCGUGGGUAGCAAACAGGAUUAGAUACCCCGGUAGUCC
rnacentral:rRNA from 1 species